UACUGCUGAGCCAGCACUUCCC
rnacentral:miRNA from 1 species